GGAUGUGUGUGUACAUACAUAUUCCGGUUGGCCCUUGUGCCAACAACAUGCCAGUGAAGACGUGUCCUUGUCCACUCCAACGUUUUUACCUACGGGACAAGGCCUAGCUGGUCCGCAGGCGGCGGGAUGACUUGGGUUGGAAGAGGGGGCCGAUGUGUACACAAUGCCCUCCUUCCGUUGUGCCCAAUCGUCUGAAGUUAUGGGCCUCGACGAAUUGAUGUAAGUCGAGGGGGUCAUAUCUGUUUUUGGCCCGGCAUGGACCUAGACCUACACGCGGUGCCCCUGUUCUUGACUGAUUAGGUCUAUAACAUCAAGCUGAGUUUUCCAAUGGGUUUUUAAAUAACUCUCAACAAUGGAUCUCUAGGCUCUUGCAUCGAUGAAGAACGCAGUGAACUGCGAUAACUGGUGUGAGUUGCAUGGCACUUCUAAUCUAACACCAAGCGAAUCAUCGAGUCUUUGAACGCAAACGGCACCCUUCCAGUCCAUUCCAAAGCGGUGGCGGAGGAUGAAGACAAGGGUAUCUCUGGCUGAGGGUAAUGAGAACUGAUCCAGUGUAACCGUUGGUUUAGCUGGGGAUUGGGCUUGCUUGGGGCAGUUGCUCUGGCUUGCCUCAAAAUCAAGCGUUGUGUGGAUUGGACUUUCAAGCAUGCAUUGGGGACGCAGGCUCUGCGCUAUGGCAAGCCCUUGACCGUCAUAGGUGCUUUGAUUGGGGUUUUCAGUCUAGCCAACAAGGCUGGGUUGAAGGACUUUGGGGCUGCAUUGGGGGCGCAAGGGCAGCUCUGUUCGUGGCGUCCGAUGACCGUCAUGAUGCAUGCGUGAUUGGACUUCAACUAGCAAUUUAUCAUUAUCAUCAUCAUUACUAUGGGUUACCUCAGGUCAGAGAAGACUACCCGCUGGACUUAAGCAUAUCAAUAAGCGGAGGA
rnacentral:misc_RNA from 1 species